GACGAACGCUGGCGGCGUGCCUAAUACAUGCAAGUCGAACGCAGUGGGGACGGGUGAGUAACACGUGGGUAACCUCCCAUCAGAGGGGAUAACACUUGGAAACAGGUGCUAAACCGAUACUGAUGGAUGGACCCGCGGUGCAUUAGCUAGUUGGUGAGGUAACGGAUCACCAAGGCCACGAUGCAUAGCCCACCUGAGAGGGGGAUCGGCCACAAGGGGACCGAGAAACGGCCCAGACUCCUAAGGGAGGCAGCAGUAGGGAAUCUUCGGCAAUGGACGAAAAGCUUACCGGGAAAAGGCGGCGGAGUUAAGAAGGUUUUCGGAUCGUAAAACUACGUUGUUAGAGAAGGGGUAGCUAACCAGAAAGCCACGGGUAACUACGUGCCAGCAGCCGCGGUAAUUC
rnacentral:rRNA from 1 species